rnacentral:sRNA from 1 species
CAGUCUACAGAGCUCUCUGACAUUUCUCAUGACACUUGAAAGAAGGGCUUGAGGGAGUCUGGGUGUGGGGGUGGCCUCCAUCCUCUUUCUAUCCCUGGCUCAGAGUCGGAGCUGCAGAUUGCCCUCAUUGCCCUCUUCUCUGAGAUGCUCUAUCGGUUCCCCAACAUGGUGGUGGCGCAGGUGACCCGGGAGAGUGUGCAGCAGGCAAUCGCCAGUGGCAUCACAGCCCAGCAGAUAAUCCAUUUCUUAAGGACAAGAGCCCACCCAGUGAUGCUCAAACAGACACCUGUGCUGCCCCCCACCAUCACCGACCAGAUCCGGCUCUGGGAGCUGGAAAGGGACAGACUCCGGUUCACUGAGGGUGUCCUGUAUAACCAGUUCCUGUCGCAAGUGGACUUUGAGCUGCUGCUAGCCCACGCGCGGGAGCUGGGCGUGCUCGUGUUCGAGAACUCGGCCAAGCGGCUCAUGGUGGUGACACCGGCCGGGCACAGCGACGUCAAACGCUUUUGGAAGCGGCAGAAACACAGCUCCUGAGAGCGCGGGACUUGGACCCGGACCUCGGCGGGCGGGACCGGGCGGGGCGGGGCAUCAGAACUCAGGUGUUUUUUAUUUACGCGUCAGGGCUUUUCUUGUCUAAUAAAGUUGUGAUAGGUAGCA